GACUUAGAUAGCUGUGGGACCUCCAAUCCUCUCAACUUCCUCAUUGGGGCAAGACCUGCUGUUAAAAGUUGCUGUUUUGAUUUUGACUAAAGAGUUAACUUCGCUGACACCAGUGUUUUCUAAUUGUUGACCUUCACCUGACUCCGGCUCCUGACACUGGUCUUGGAUUCUGUUUUUGUGCAGCUGCAACUCUUGGGUCAAAUUCUGCCUGGACACACCUCAGUUCUUGGGCUGCCUUGGCUACAGUCGUAGCCGCUACUGCCCGGAGUCUCAGAACACUGAUUCUGGGCCAGAGGAGCAAGGACAUCAGCUGCAGAACUCAGAACAAACCAGUGUGGCUGUGGAAGGUACAGUGCACAGAAUGAUUCCUGCCACCCCCAAGAAGAGGCAGAGACAUAUAGCAGCGGUCGUGGCCCAAGAAAAGAGAGGAAAAUGCUGGAAGUAAACAACUGGCUGCCCAUACGGUGUCACCAGGAAAGGUUUGGCUUCUUGGACCAUGAUCUUCUUCCAUGAGGAAGGACUUCUGGCAAAAGAUGGGCUGCACCUCAGAGCAGUUGGCAAGAAUGUGUUUGCUAAGAGUCUUGUGUAUCUGAGAUCAGGAGAACUUUAAGCUAAAUCCUAAGCAGGAUGGAGACAAUAUUACAGACAACAGGGAAACACCUGUUACUGGGGAUAAUAGCUUCAGUGAUGCACAGGAAACUGAAGCAGUGCUACAGAAACCCAUUAAAGGGCAGAAAACUACAAGAUGGAAGCAGAUGGAGGGGAUGACUUUUUUGGAGAAGCUGCUAAAUUGUGGGCUGGAUGAGGCUACCAUUAGAUGCAUCUGUAGUUGGGUUGACUGGCAGAACCCAAAGAGUGUUCACUAAUGGUUCCUCAUCACCCUGGGAAAAAGUGACAAGUAGAGUUCUGUCAGGGUUCUGUCCUGGCUGCGUUAUUGUUCAACAUCUUUAUAAAUGACUUGGAUGAAGGAAUUGAGGAAAUGUUUAUCAAAUCUGCAGAUGACACCAAGCUGUGAGUGGCAGCCAAUGUCACAGAAGACAAAAUCAGGAUUCACAAUGACCUUAAAAUAUGCCCUUCUAAGUUCCUUCCAAAGUGCUGCACUUCCCUAAGCACAGAAAAAGACUACACUUUUGGUAAAAAUUGUUUACAUACAAACUCUCCGAAGGUUAGAUUCAUGUGCUUUUCCAUACAGCAGUCAGAAAACACAGGCAGUGAAACUUGGCUUAGUUACAGUGGUGAAAGUUCCUAAAUUAUUGGCAUAGGAACACAAGAACGGCUCAUAAAAGCCUUGUGGUCUGAGCCUGGAGCAAACAGCUGAGAACCUCUUCACUCGUUGAGCUUCUCUGGUAGACUGAAGGGGAACAAUAUAUUUGAUUAGCUCCCUCCCAAGAUGUGGAACCUAGCUAAGCCUAGCAGGACAGCUUACUCUAUGGUGUUAACCCCUUCAUGCAUUGAUUAGACUUAAGCAUGUUGGUUAUCCCACAAUAUGAGUGUGUGAGCUAAGCUUUCGUUAACAAAGACAUUCUUACCUUCAGGCUGUUAAAUUGUGUGCACCUAGACUCAGAGAAUUGGAGAUGGUAACUAGAAGUACACCUGGAUUCUUAUUUCCUUCUUCCAGAUAUUAAGCACAGCCUGAUCAGGGAUAGAAACCUCCUACAUGCAAUAAGUAUUCUUUACCACUUGUAGCUUCUAGUCAUCAUUCAGAAUUUGAUCUCAUAUCUAUACUUCUGGUUGUACAGGUGUAUGCAUUGUUUUAAUGCCAAUUGAUUCUUAUUUUCUCUUUUAAUUUGCCAUUAAUAUUUCCUUCCAUGAUGAUAGCAAAAUCACCACUUCCCUCACAAACAGUUUAUUCACACUAUGGCAGUUUAGUGUCUUGACUACUCUUAAUUCCAAAUAUAUGCUCUCCUCACAAUGUUCAUCCAAUUCUCCUUCUUGGCCAUCUUGUAUCAUUUACUGCCAGAGGUACCAACUUGAAUAAAAUAUUUUGGGGGCCCAGGUAAGCUCUGCCCCACAUAACUGAUCACAUGACACAGCACGUCUUGAAUGGUAAUGUCCAUCAACUUGGAGGGACCCUGGCCUCCUCAAAUAUUUCUUGGGGUGGGGCAAAGUCACCUAGGAGUUAGCUCCUAUGUUUACUGCACAAGUCAUAUUCUGAUUUCUUGUCUCUGACAUGACAUUUUAAGCUUCAUCAAGAACCACCACCACAAAUCUAUGUUGAAUCUUUCCUGUUUCUUGCUUUUUCUUCUCCCUAGACCUCACCUCUUUUAUUUUCAUAGCACAUUCACUAUGGAGGUACUAAAAUAGUUACCGU